AGCUGUUCCCCUCUGGAGGUUUUUGACCUUCAUACCUAUAGGGCCCUGGUUUACUCCGGUGGCCCUCUUUUUUUGCUCAA
rnacentral:sRNA from 1 species